UACGAAGGGGGCUAGCGUUGUUCGGAAUUACUGGGCGUAAAGCGCGCGCAGGCGGCUAUCCAAGUCAGUGGUGAAAGCCCGGAGCUCAACUCCGGAACUGCCAUUGAAACUGUUUAGCUGGAGUAUGAGAGAGGUGAGUGGAAUUCCCAGUGUAGAGGUGAAAUUCGUAGAUAUCGGAAGGAACACCUGUGGCGAAAGCGGCUCACUGGACCACAACUGACGCUGAUGCACGAAAGCUAGGGGAGCAAACAGG
rnacentral:rRNA from 1 species